rnacentral:rRNA from 1 species
ACCCUAAACCUACCCAAAAUCCAUCCGAUCCCUUCUGAUCUUGGAAGCUAAGCAGGGUCAGGCCUGGCUAGUACUUGGAUGGGAGAAAAAUGCCUGGGAAAGCUUCACCAGAGAGUC